rnacentral:rRNA from 1 species
GACGAACGCUGGCGGCGUGCUUAACACAUGCCAGUCGAACGGAAAGGCCCUGCUUUUGUGGGGUGCUCGAGUGGCGAACGGGUGAGUAACACGUGAGUAACCUGCCCUUGACUUUGGGAUAACUUCAGGAAACUGGGGCUAAUACCGGAUAGGAGCUCCUGCUGCAUGGUGGGGGUUGGAAAGUUUAGGCGGUUGGGGCUGGACUCGCGGCUUAUCAGCUUGUUGGUGGGGUAGUGGUUGACCAAGGCUUUGACGGGUAGCCGGCCUGGGAGGGUGACCGGCCACAUUGGGACUGAGGUACGGACCAGACUGCUACGGGAGGCAGCAGUGGGGAAUAUUGCACAAUGGGCGGAAGCCUGAUGCAGCAGCGCCGCGUGCGGGAUGACGGCCUUCGGGUUGUAAACCGCUUUCGCCUGUGACGAAGCGUGAGUGACGGUAAUGGGUGAAGAAGCACCGGCUAACUACGUG